rnacentral:lncRNA from 1 species
GGUCAAAGGAACACUGGGGUGGAGGGUUGGGAUUGCUGUCCCCACCACCCCCACCCUGGGGGGCUGCCCCAGGAGACUGGAAGUGUGGUGGUGGCUGUUGCUGCUGCUGCUGCUGCUGCUGCUGCUGCUGCUGCUGCUGCUGUGAUGCCUGGGCCACUGCUGCCGCUGCUGCUGCUGCCUGCACCUGUUGCUGAAGAUCAGGCGGGUUGUGUUUGCGCAUAUGUUUCAUAAGGUAUGUUUCCUGAGGGAGAUGGUAAAAAGAAGUUGAGGGAUAAAGAGGAAGGAAAAGAGAUUACUUGUAACUAGCACCCCAGGCUCUGAUUCUGCUGUAAGCAGAGUAAGCUUUAUACUGGUUUUCUGGAGCCAAGACUGAGCAAAACUCAAGUAGCACUUUCAGUGGCUCACUACUGAGAAAAAAAAGAGAGGAACCUUUAGAAGUCACUCAACAUUCAACUGGCAAAGGAAUGAGCUGCUAUUUUUUUCAAAGACCCCUGAAUGAAACAACUUUACAACCUUUUCUGGAGUCUCAUGGAAAAUAUCUAACUGGGCCAGGUGCGGUGGCUCACACCUGUAAUCCCAGUACUUUGGGAGGCUGAGGUAGGUGGAUCACUUGAGGUCAGGAGUUUGAGACCAGCCUGGGCAACAUGGUGAAACCCCAUGUCUACUAAAAAUACAAAAAGUUGCUGGGCAUGGCAACAUGCACCUGUAAUCCCACCUACUUGGGAGGCUGAGGCAGGAGAAUCGCUUGAACCCAGGAGGUGGAGGUUACAGUGAGCCGAGCCGAGAUCACACCACUGCACUCCAGCCUGGGUGACAGGGCGAGACUGUGUCUCAAAAAGAAAAAAAAAAAAAAAAGAAGAAGAAAAUGCCUAACUGAAAUCCAGCUCCCCUCAAAAUUUCAAGUGGCUUUAUUUUGCCUUAUGUUUAAGUAAAAUGAAGAAUUACAGCUUAUGCGUCUCUAUAGGAUUAGGAGAUCAGGCAUCCCCUAAAUUCCUCAGAAUGGGUCUAAUUAAUUUCUGAAUAUUUACCUGUUCUGCUAAGUUGGAGCUAGGGAGGCAGGGUAUUCACUGCAACAGAUCUCUACCCAGAAAAUGGGGUGAAGUGGACUGUACUCUUAGAGGACUAUGAGGAAGGAGAGAAGAAACGGAGCACUCACUGAUGUGUAUGCCCGACUGCAGAUAGUGCAGGUGUACACCUUGGCAUGCUUCACUGUGUGCGUAGACAGGUGCACCUCUAGUGAGGCUGCAUCCGUGUACGCCCGAUGACAGUUGUGGCACUUGAAGGGUUUAUCUUUGUUGUGUUGCCGUCUGUGGGACUGAGAAAAUUGGGAGAAACCAGAAUGAAUACAUUGUACUCUUUCCUCCUGCCCCCUUGACCUCGAUGGAAAGCAAAAAGGUAGGUGUCAGGCCUCCCAGCUUCUCCCUCUAUCUGAAGAAAGUAGAAAUUGUUUCAAAUGAAACUUGAGAAGCUACAGGCUAAGGGUGGAAGCAUACCUCAUGUAGCACAUACCAGGAUCCCAAGACAGCUUAUGCCCGUCUCACCAGUCCAGUGGUUCUUAAAAUGAGGCAUGGGGAUCUUUAGGGAACACUAAGACCUUCACAGGGGGCCCACAGGGUCAAAACUCUUUUUUUUUUUUUUUCCCAGAUGAAGUCUCUCACUCUGUCGCUCAGGUUGGAGUGCAGCGGCACAAUCUCGGCUCAUUGCAACCUCCGCUUCCCGGGUUCAAGCGAUUCUCCUGCCUCAGCCUGCAAGUAGCUGGGACUACAGGCACAUGCCACCAGGCCUGGCUAAUUUUUUUUGUAUUUUUAGUAGAGACAAGGUUUCACCGUGUUGGCCAGGCUGGUUUCCAACUCCUGAGCUCAGGUGAUCCGCCCGCCUCCGCCGCCCAAAGUGCUGAGAUUACAGGUGUGAGCCACCGCGCCCAGCCAAAUCUUUUCAAAAUAAUAAGACAAUGUUUGCCUUUGUCUCUCUUGAACCUGGGAAGUUGCAGUAAGCUGAAAUCACACCACUGCACUCCAGCCUAGGUGACCCAGCGAGCCUCUGUCUCAAACACGCACACGCGCGCGCGCACACACACACACACACACAAACACAAAGAUGAAAAACCUAACUGAAAUCUUGUUCCCCUCAAAAUUUCAAGUGGCUUCAUUGUGCCUUAUGUUUUACAUGUAACCCUUACAGAGGUUACAUGAUGUGUGAUAACACAAUAGGCCAGAUGCAGCAGAUCUGAGAAUCUACUCAUCUUCUAGCUUAAGACAUUAAAGACCCCUGUGCCAGGUGCGGUGACUCAUGCUUGCAAUCCUAGCACUUUGGGGAGGCUGAGGCGGGAGGAUGGCCUGUGUCCAGGAGUUCGAGACCAGCCUAGGGAAGAUAGCAAGACCCCAUCUCUACGAAAAUGAAAAAAACAGCCAGGUGUGAUGGUGCAUGCCUAGAAUCCCAGCUACUUGGGAGGCUGAGGUGGAAGGAUCACUUGAGACCGGGAGGCUGAGGCUGCAGUGGGCCAUGAUAACACCACUGCACUCAGCCUGGGUGACAGAGCAAGGUCCUGUCCCAAAAAUAAAAAAUAGACACCUGCAAAAAUGUAUAAUAAUGCCAUUCUUCUCACUCAGUUGUUUUUGGAGGGUCUUGGAAUAUGUUAUUUAUGUUAACACACAAUGGGUUUAUUUUUGUUCUUUCUAAACAGAUUACUAUUAUAAAUAUUUUUCAGGUUUUUCAGUUUUACAACGUCUAUGUAGACAGCUAUUACCCACAUAAACAAAAACUCUUUGGGUCCCUCAAUAAUGUUUGAGUGUAAAGGAGUCCUGAAAACAUUUGAGAACCACGAUACUAUUCAAAUGGCCCCAUGUCUCAGACUCAAGGUCUUGUGUGGAGGGUGGAACAUUUACCUGCAGAUUGGAGAGUUGUGUGAAGGCUUUCUCACAGCCUGGGUGUGCACAUUUGUAUGGUCUAUCACCAGUGUGGAUUCUGCACAGGAUAAGAGAAAAAAGGGAAAGAAUGUCAGCAAGACCAUUUAGGAACUGGCUCAACAAAUCUUCUCCAGGCCCAUCCUGCUCUCCUAAGGAGGCACAUCAGAUGGGCCUCCAAGAGGCACCAGCCUUCCUCUCUGAUGUGGAUCAGGUACUGAUGAUUUGCUUCUGGUCAAUGCCUGCAUCACUCAGCUCAAGCUGAGGCUCCUCUCUGCUGGGGGAGGAGAGACUGAGGACUUGGCACCCAAGGAACAGGCAGCCCACAAUUUGGCAUUCAAGUCAGCUCCUACAGUAACUGUCCUAACGAACAUUCAAGAACACAAGAUAAACACAAUGGCAAGGAAAAAGAAAAGCAGAACGCGUCUUCCUUGGCCCCACCUUAUGGCCAGAAACAGUCCCCUCAGCCUUGAGCAUCACUUCCAGAGAAUGUUAUGGUAACAAAGAAAAGCAGUUACACUGAUUGUGGAGAGUAGUAGUGAUAUUAAUGGAAACUCAUGAAAACUAAGUGCUUUUUGCAGCCCAGCCCCCUAAUGACAGGAAAUGCCUAGUUUAGUACCAAUGUGACCUCUCUCCCCAACACCACAGGGCCCUCUGCUAAGAUGAGCCAAGGACUUGAGGGUGCAGUGACACCUGCUCCUCAUCAGCGACUUCAGAACCAUCUCUAUGACCAGGUGCUUUUCGGGACCUCUGGUAUAAAAUCUCAAAAACAUCACAGGACGUGUCUCUUAUUUGUGAGGAAAGCCUGACUCCUCCUCUUCUCAAAGCAAGAUGUCUGAUCACUUUAAGGUGAGAUCAUCACAUCCACAAGAAGCCGGGUGAGACGGUCUAUGGCCUGUAAGUCUGGACUCCAGUUCAACUUGAGAUAGCACCAAAGAUCAUCACUUCUAGUUGGCAGGUUCCCUUCUUCCUAGUCACUCCAGAUUCACGGGAUAAACACUGGGCAUCUUUAUGAAGCAUAAGCGUUUUCAUUUUCUGUUUGCUGAUUCUCUCUGAACAUUUAGUACGUGUUUUCUUUUGUUCUCUACUCCUGGCAUCCCUCAGAGCCUUGCUUGUUGCUGUGGGUGUCACCAGGCUGGUGCCCAGCUAAUGUCUGAUUUUAUUUCCUGUUCAUAAUUGGUGCCCUAAGGGCUAGAGGUAUGGUCUUCUCCACUCAAAUGCCUCUGUUUUGGCAUCAAGGGGCAAAUCUUCCAAGAUGGGUACAUGAGUAUUUUCAGGGAGGAAAAUUAGAGAAAAGUUGUUUCUACUCCAGGUACGUGUCUGUCUCCCAUGGAUCAGUGAAUAUCAUAUAGUCACUGCAG